GCUUCUGUAGCUCAACGGUGAGAGCAAUCCGCUCAUAACGGAGAGGUUUUAAGUUCGAAUCUUAACAGAAGCA
rnacentral:tRNA from 1 species